rnacentral:lncRNA from 1 species
UUUUUUUUUUUUUCUUGCAAAAUUUUAUUGGGCCUUACAUUCUCCCCCACUUAGGAUCAUUCAUCCUCGAAUGAGGAUCAGAGUCCAUUAUUAGCACGUUGUGCAACUCAGUUAACAUAUCCUACAUUAGCAACCCCAAAUUUAACUAACUCUCUAAAUUCUCAAAAGGUUCGCCAGAGUUUCGUUUGUAACAAUGCCUAGCCACCUGUCAGAGAGCCCCAGAAAUACAUCUUACAAACAUGUAUAGAACCCAACGACAUAGCAUAACUCAUAACCACACCAAACGUGGCCUCAUGUAAACAACAUAUAAUCAAAAGGAGCAUCUUUACAUUAACUGAACAAGUGAUACAAAAUUCUUAGGCGACAGAUUCGUAAAAGAAAGGAUUACACAACUAUUCAAACAAGUGAGGAUACUUCUUCUUCAUCCCUUCCUCGGCCUCCCACGUGGCCUCUUCAAUUUGUUGAUUUAUAACACUUUCACGGAGGUAAUAAAACAUGUUUUUCUGCCAAAAAUUUUUCAUUACUUUCCUGUGCAUUGUUCAACCCAAAAAGUUCAAACAUGCAACAUGUAAAACCAAUUCGGCACCACGAAAUAUUUUUUUUUCUUGUAAAAUUUUAUGGGGCCUUACAAAAGAUCCCUGAACAAGAUCAUUAAUCUCUUUCUGAAUCUGAUAUAAUUUUACCCCAUUUGUUUGGUCAUAACAAUCCUCGAAUUCCCUCCACAACUCGACUGAGUCAUUCACAUAUUCUACACUAUCAGAAAUUUCCUUAGCGAGGGAAUUGAGGAUCCACGAGGUGCCAUGUAGUCACACCUCUUCCACUAACGAAAUUGAGGCGAAUUAGGGAUAGGUUUUCUAUAUUCCCCAUUAAUAAACCCUAAUUUGUUUUUGACCGACAUGGCUCGCAACACACUUCUUCUCCAGGAAUGAUAUCCAAUUCCGUCAAACGGAACUGGUACUAAAGUCGUUUCAGGACUAUCUGAUGUUUGGCUAUAAUUUCGUAUUUUUUAGUGCAUUACUUACCUUACAUUUUGGGGAUUUAAUGCUAAAUUAUACUAUAUUUGUGAUUAAUUGAGUUUAUUUUAUGUGUAGGUACAUUGGAGAUGAAAUUGGAGCAAAGUAAAUAUUUAAAGUGUGAUUCAUGCACUAAAAUAAUGGGCUUAUGAUUAUAUAAUAAUAAGGAAAUUAUUGAUGAAGAAGGAAUAAUUGAGACAAGGAUUGAAGAUAAAUCACAAUAGGACAAAAAUAACAAUGCAAAGGAUUUUGGAAAAGAAAGAAACAAAAACGUGAAAGGAAAAAGUUAAGCAAAGAAACAUAAUUGAAACGAAGCAGCAGUCAGGCUACGUAAGCCUUGUUGCUCGCUAUUGAUCAAGCAACGCAAGCCUUGUUGCUCGCUACUGAGCUUGCUCCGCCAGGGCUAACGCGAGGAGGAGGCGCGCGGCAGAUCUUGCAUCGCACAGGCUGAGGCGAGGUGGACUGUGCGUUUUGCCUCACGAGGCGAGGUCUGUGGCGAGCGUGUUCCGGAUUUCUAAAGCCUAUUUUGUCUCCUAUUUGGUUUAGACUUGGUUAUUUCAUUUAGGUCUUUUCUCUACACAUAUAAAUAGUAAUAAAAUACCAUUUUUAGAGGGAGUUUUGCUACCGGAGGCAAGAACAUCAGGCUUGUAGUUUGAAGCUUGAAUUGUCUUAUUAAUUUAUCAUAGUGGUUUAUUUAUUCAAUCUUGCACUUAAUUAUUUGAUUGUUUGAUCACAAAUAUAAUACUAUCUACGAAUCUAGGAUUGAACUCGGGAGAGGGAAUUCUAGAUUGCAUAUAAGAUUGAGUAGAGCAAGAUCUUAACUCUGAGGGGGGCGGAUUUGCGGUUAGGAUAGGAAUAUACCUAAUCGCCUUACUUGGUUACUAUACAGGAAUUAUUAAUGCAUUCCUGUUAAUUCUAAUUUCAUAGGAAUAUAGGCGUUAGAUUAGCUUGAAUAGUAGUACUUCGGGAGAAGGCUACGAGCAAUAUUAACCCUGUCAACCAAUAAUCCAGAUAAAUUAAUUAGAUGAUUUAAGUGAAAAACUCAACGGGAUUGUUAGCUAACCCAUAGCUCUAGAAUAUUCACUCACAUUGAAUUCGUCUUUAAGCUUGUCAUUGUUUUCUUUAAUCUCUUAAUUUGUUACUCUAGAUUAAUUUUAGUUAAAUAUUCAUACGUUAGGAUUCGCUUGAAUAGAUUAAUUGUUUGGUUUAAUUUAGUUUAUAAUUAAUCACAAGUCUCUAUGAGUACGAUAUCUGGACUUACAAUCCUAUAUUACUUGUACGACUACGUUUACUUGUGUGUGCAUUUGGGAGCAACAAGUUUUUGGCGCCGUUGCCGGGGACAUAGAAAUUAACUAUUCUACUAGAUUGGAUUUUUACUUUUUGUCUAUUCAAGUUUUUAUUUUUUUAUUUUUUCUUAAUUUAAUAUUUUAUUAUCUUUGUUGACAUGGCAUCUUGGAAUGAUAAUUGGUCGAAUAUUGGUUAUUCUUAUUAUGGUGAUUUGUAACGACCCGACCGAUCGUUUGCUUUCUUAUCACGUCGCAACCUCGGGGAGCGCGACCGGCGCUCAACUGAGUGAACCCGGUCGAGUAAGCCUAUUAGUCCUUCCCUACUUGACUCAUUCAUAAUCCAAAUGGAAACGCAUCACCAUUUGUUAAACAAGGAAGAGAUCAGUUAUAUAAAUAAAUAAACGUUGUUAGUCCAUUUUUCACUAUAUACAUUAUGCCAUAGUUAAGUUUCCAAAAUACAACUUAGUCCAGUGACCACUCCGAUACCCAUACACGACCCACAUAAACGUAUACGGAGCCUCUAAUGAUACAAAAGACCAACAUGACAAUGACGACAAUAAGGCCCCGGCUAUACCUCAAAAUGUGAAAACUUCUACAAAGGAAGGACUACAUGACCCUAGGAGGAAAUGGGGCUCAACAAGACAGCUGUGAUGAGUGUGAGGGAGAGCACCACUAUCUUCGAUCAGCGCUAUAUGCGAUGGAACCACCUACAUCCAUUCAAAGAUGUAGUGCCCCUGGCAAAAGUGACGUUAGUACUGUCGAAUAGUACUAGUAUGUAAGGCAAACACCAAUCUUAGUAUAAUGAACAGUGAAACAAGGAGAAGGCAGUCAUAAUAAUCAAUAAGUGCUUCAUAGAAAUACACAGAAACACCAAGUAAGAAUCACAUAGUUUCUGAUUCAAUCUUUCCAUCUUUUUAGGUUAAUAAUCUUUAGUGACAAAUGCCACAACUCACAAUGCCACCGUGAUUCUACACGGAGUCUGGUCUCGGCCCGACCGGCUAAUCCAUCUCAGGUGAGACAUAUCCAUAUCCACAAUGUAAAUCAAUAAUUCCAACACAAAUGCCACCAUGUGUACAACAUGGCAUCCGAUCUCGACCCGAUCAUCUAAGCUAUCUCACUUAAGACAUAACCUCUUUCAAUUGUUCACUCAAUUCACAUUUCUUUCCCAUCUUUCGUUACAUGGCACAAACAGCCUCAUUUAUUAAGUAUUUCUUGGCACUUGGGAACAUUUUACAAUUUAAGUCUUUCCUUUUUUAUCCGUUCAAAUAACAUCAUCAUUCAUGUCGAUAAGUAUCAUCACAUAAGGCAUUACACAUAUAAGGGAAGGAACUUGGAAAAUCAUAAUAACGUUCUCAAGUAGCAUGAUGACAUGGUAAACAUCUAAAACNNNNNNNNNNNNNNNNNNNNNNNNNCUUAAUUGCGCUUCUUUAGACUCUACAAUUAUCUGCAACCCUUAGUAACCUCAAUCUAUUUUAGCAAUAUACAAAUUGAACCCAAAAUUAGGAAAAUGUUCAUGGUUCUAGCUCACUUUUCCCCACACUCUUUAUCAUAGAUGCAUGCAAGAUAAACCACCCUCAUACCCAUGAAGUAUCACACUAGUACCCCAUUAUAGCUAUGUUUGAAAUUAAGAGCUGGGGUGAUGAAGUCUUACCCUUUUGGAUGAAGAAUUUGGUGCUCUACUUGAAUAUUUCCAAAGCUUUAAGUGAUGAUUGAAGAUCAAUUUGAUGAAAACUUAGGCCCUCCCUCUUGAACCCUCUCUCUCUCUCACUCUAGAAAUAUCAGAAAAUGAGCUCAAACUAGACCUAAGGGAUGUUUUAACGGAUUGGGGGUCAGGUUUUAAAUUAAGAAAAAGGGUGCCCCGACACAGGUCUGCGGUCGCAUAUGCGCCCGCAUAAUGGUUAUGCGGUCCGCAAAGUGACCGCAGAAAUGGCCCUCAGGGGCCUAAACUUUCAGCCCAGAUAUACGACCAGUAUGCGGUCCGCAUACUUGUUCUGCGGUCGCAUAAAGCACCGCAAAACUCCCUCCGUAGAAACUCAAUAGGAAUUAUGCGACCAAUAUGCGGUCCGCAUAUCGAUUAUGCGGUCGCAUAAUCGACCGCAAAGCUAACCUCAAAUUGGCCAAACUUUUUGCUACACUCUGCGGCCCGCCGAGUAAUUAUGUGGACGCAUAAUAGGCCACAGAAAUGCGUUCUUCUGCUAAACAUUUUCCUCUAAGUCCGUAGGGUACUGUUCACUCCAAAAAGUCCGAACUGGAAAGAAUUUCUACUAUAAUAACGCAGGAAUCUAUCUUGGCGCCACGAAACCCCGAGUUUUUAGUUUAAAUUUUUACGGGUCCUUACAUUUCUAGAACCCCGUUCCCCUAAAUAUGACUUUCCAUACAUGCUUUUACUGUUUCAUGACUUGCAUGGAUGGUUGGUUCAGGAUUUGGAAGAGUCUAGGUUGGAAUCGAAACCUUUGGUUCCUUAAGGUUGGCUUAAAAGGCCAAGUUUGACUUUGGUCAACAUUUUUAGUAAAUAACCUCAGAAUCAGGAUUUGAUGGUUCCAAUAGGUUCAUAUGGUAAUUUUGGACUUGGGCGUAUGUUCGGAUCGGGUUUUAGAUGACCCGGGAGCAUUUUGGCGCCUAAUAGUGAAAGUUGGUUCUUGAAGGUUUUAGAAGUUCUUUAAAAUUUGGUUUGGAGCGGGUUUUGGUGAUAUCGAGGUUCAAACGAAAUUUCAAGACUGGGAAUAGUUUCGUAGUGUCAUUUAAGACUUGCACGCAAAAUUUGGUGUCAUUCCGAGUAGCAUAAGUACAUUUCGGCGCAUUGGAAGUAAAUUGAAGAACUUGAAGUUCUUAAGUUUGAUUCAAUUGGUUUUAGGGUGUGAUUCUUAGUUUUAAUGUUGCUUCGGGCAUUCCGAGAGUUCGAGCGAGUCCGUUUUAUAGUUCCAAACUUGUUGGUAUGUUCGGGCGGGGCUCGGGGGCCCCGAGUGUCGAUUGGACGAGGCUCGGACCAUUUCGGGAGCUGAAGCUCCGCAGUUCUGUCAUAACCGCACCUGCGGUUGGCCAGCCGCAGGUGCGAGCCAAGCCCCCGUAGAUGCGAUCCAAGGAUGGCCAGCCAGGUUCUACAGAUGUGGCUCCUUCCACACAGAAGCGGGAGCCCUUCCGCAGAUGCAGCCCCAGCUGGCCCAGCCAAUUCCGCAGAAGCGGACAUUUGGUCCACAAUAGCGAAUCUGCAGGUUCGGCCAAUGUACCGCAGGUGCAAAAAUCGCAGGGGCAGUGGGGUUCACUUAAUACGGGACAUAAGCCAUUUUUCACUCAUGUUCUCUCACUCUUUUGGCGAUUAUUGGAGCUUCUUGAGAGUGAUUCCCACAUAGCUUUAGGAGGUAAGUAAUUUUUACCUAUUAUGAGUUUAAUACAUAGAUUAUGGGUAGAUUCCAACAUGAAAAUUGGUAGAAAUCAUGGGUUUAGAUGAAAAAACUAGGGUUUGACAAAAAUAGGAUUUUACCAUGAAAUUGACCAUGGAACUUAGUGAAAAUUAUAUAUUUAUGUUCCUAAGGUUAUGGUAACAACUUUCUUUGAAAAUUUUCGGAAUCCAGGCACGUGGGCCCGGGGGUGAAUUUUAGGAAUCUUGCAAUUUAGGUUAGGUAAUCGCUUAAAUGGUGAAAUUAUGAACUUUUGAGCAUAGAUUGAUUAGUUUAUGUGAUGUUUGACUAGCUUUGAGUCGUUUGGCAUCAAAUUUAGAGGUUUGAGCGCGUUCUUGAAUUAGGAAGUAGGCUUUGAGACGAGGUAAGUCUCCUUUCUAACCUUGUAUGUGGGAAUUAACCCCAUAGGUGAAUUAAAUAUAUGUGUGUACCUAUUUGUGGGGUCUACAUACGUACUAGGUGACGAGAGUCCGUACGUAGCUACUAUUAUGCUAUUGUCCGGGUAGUUUAGGAACUGUAUCAUGACUUAUUUGAAAUGUUUGUGCCCUUACUUGCUAAUUCAAUUACUCGAAUCAUGUUAAAAUUUGACAAAAGAAUUCAAAAAAGAGCUAAGUUCACAUAUUUAAAGAAUUUAUUAGAAUACUUGAUUGUAAAUGAGAAUUCGUGUUUCCUUAAAAAUAAUUGUUAUUUGUGGAUCGGGCCGAGCACCGCGGUAGUAAAUAGAUGCAUCUAUGGUUCGCGUCAUUCGACCCUCCGGCAGUGCAUAAUUUAAUAUUAUAUUGGACCGUUCCGUACGACCUCGGCAUAAUUGUGCAUGUUAAUUAUGUGGAACUCUCCGCGAUUUAUACUUCUUAAAUGCCUUGAAAUGUAAGUUGUUAAAUGAUAUGACUGAAAUUGAGAUUUUAAUUAUGAAAGAAGAACUUAUCUCUUCCUGUUAUUGAACUAUAAGUAUUAUUAAUGAUAUCCAUACUUAGCAUAACACUUUAAUUACAUUAUUAUUGGCCCUAGUAAGUGUCGAGUCGACCCCUCGUCACUACUUCUUCGAGGUUAGGCGGGAUACUUACUGGGUGCAUAUUGGUUAUGUACUCAUACUACACUUGUGUACUUAAUUGUACAGGAUCUGAGACUGGUGCAUCUAGUUACCUACCCGGUGCGCAUACCUGAUCUUGGACCGAGACUUCACGGUGAGCUGCCCCCUUCUGAGCCGUUUAACAGCAUACCGGAGUUUCUCUUUUGUUUUUAUCUGUCUAUUCUAUUUCAGACAUUAGGAUAGUCAUCUUUUAUAUAUUCCACUAGUUGCCCACACACUUGUGACACUAGAUCUUGGCACGUAUUAGUAGAUAUUGAUUUUUGGAUUGUAGUUCAAUAGUUAUUACUCCUUUUAGAUGUUUCUGUUUGUUUGCCUUAAAAAUUCGUUAUUUGUCAAAUGCUUUAAAUGUAUGUAAAGCUAAAUGUUAGAAUUGCUUAAUAAACAAAAAUGGGAAAUCACUAAGUUGGUCAUUGUUGGCUUGUCCAGCAACGGUGUUGGACGCCAUCACGGCCUGACAUGGAGUUAGGUCGGGACAACAUGGUAUUUGAGCACUGGGUUCACGUAGGUCUCACAAGUUAUAGGCAGGCCUAGUAGAGUCUUGUCGAUCAGUGCGAAGACGUCUGUACUUAUCUUCGAGAGGCUUUGGGGUGUUAGGAAACUACUCAUUAUUCAUAUCCUAUCGUGCAAUUGAUGGUAUACUAAAUUUCUUUCUUCUAUUCUCUCACAGAUGGUGAGGACGCAUACGACGGACGUUCCAGACCCGAGACGAGCUGCUCCCCCCAUUGCUAGAGGCCGAGGCAGAGGCCGGGGGAGGGAACCAGCCUGAGGUAGGGGACGAGGGCGUCCCAGAGCUUCCCCAGCAGCACCACCAGCGGAUCCAGUAGAGGAUCCCAUUAUUGAGGAGUAGGGUGAGGUGCCUGCCGUAGAGCUAGCCACGGUAGAUUUCAUGACAGCACCGGGAUUUUAGGAGGUCAUGGGCUGUAUGAUGCGGUUCAUGGACUCCAUGACUCAGGAUGGUUUAUUUCCAGCGGACCCAGCCACAUCUCAGGCAGGAAGGGGAGCACAAACCCCUACUGCUCAGGCUCCUGGGCACGCAGCUGCGGUAUAUCAGACUCCGGUUGCACUACCCACGGGCAGAGCCCAGCCAGUUAUGGUGGAUGCACCUGAGCCUAGACCGGCUACGGACGGCGAUCCAUAAAAGUUAUUGGAUAGAAGGACUAGGUUACAUCCUCUUGUCUUUGGAGGCGAGCGUCAAGAGGAUUCCCAGGAUUUCAUUGAUAGGUGCAAGGAAAGACUGCACAACAAGAUGAUACUAGAAUCUCAUGGAGUUGACUUCACUAUUUUCCAGCUGGAGGGCAGGGCCCGUAGAUUGUGGCAUUCUUAUCAUCUUGGCAGACCAGUGGGUUCUCCUCCCAUGACUUGGAGUCAGUUCACACAGCUUUUCUUGGAUAGGUAUAUUCCACCCUCCGAGAGGGAAAAGUUGUGGUAUCAGUUUGAGCAGCUUGAGCAGGGUCAGAUGUUAGUGACCGACAAUNNNNNNNNNNNNNNNNNNNNNNNNNAUAUGGGGAUUUCUUAUCAGCUGGUAGUGGAGAUUGCUUGGAGGAUUGAGGGCUAACGUCAGAGAAAAAGAGAGCAGACGCAGCAGGACAAGAAGGCCCAUUUUUUUGGAGAGUUUAGAGGUGCCCCGGCUAGGGGAAGAGGUCCGUUUGGGAGGGGUCACCCUAGAAGGCCCCCAUAUUCAUCACCACCACCUCCUCGAGGUGCUCCAGCAUGCCACUAUUUCAGCACCACACCAGAGAGUUCUUACCGCCCCUGCCAUCCAGGGUUCUUCCGAUGGGUACUCACGUUACUAGGGUUCUUCCAACUCCUAUUUUAGUGCCAUAUCGGAGAUCUCAUACCACCCACUGGCUAUUUAGGCUUCUUCCAGUGGGUCUACAGGCCAUCAGGGUCAGACAUCAGGGCAGCAGAUCACCGCACCGAGGGGCUAUUUCGAGUGCGGAGAUCUCGGUCACAUGAGGAGAUUCUGCCCCAAGCUUCAGGGCAAGGCAAUGCAGCAGGGUCAGCAGCCCAUGAUUUCAGCACCGGUUGUCCGUCCGCCCAGAGGCGGAGGGCAGGCGGGGGGAGGCCAGUCAUCUAUUGUUCAGUUAGGCGGAGGACAGCCCGCCAGCGCUCCAGCCAGAUUCUAUGCUUUUCCGACCAGACCAGAUGCAUUGGCCUCAGAUGUCAUGAUCACAUGUAUUAUUUCUGUAUGCGGUAGGGAUGCUUCGGUAUUAUUUGAUCCAGGGUCUACCUAUUCAUAUGUGUCAUCUCUAUUUGCUCAUUUUUUGGAUAUUCCUCGUGAGUCCAUGGGUACUCUUAUUUAUGUGUCCAUGCCUGUGGGUGAUUCUGUGAUUGUGGAUCGGAUUUACCGAUCCUGUGUGGUCAUGUUUUGUGGUUAUGAGACUAGAGUGGACCUUCUGUUGCUUGAUAUGAUCGACUUUAAGGUUAUCCUGGGCAUGGACUGGUUAUCUCCAUAUCACGCCAUCCUUGAUUAUCAUGCCAAGACUAUUACCUUAGUGAUGCUAGAAUUACCGAGAUUGGAGUGGAAGGGUUCCUCGGUUAGUAUAGCUAGUCGGGUCAUCUAUUUUCUAAAGGCUCGACAUAUGGUCGAGAAGGGUUGUUUGGCUUAUCUAACUUAUCUUCGGGACACCACCGAAGAGUCUCCGAGUAUUGAUUCAGUGCCAGUAGUCUGGGAGUUCGCCGAUGUAUUUCCUUCUGACCUUCCAGGCAUGCCGCCAGAUUGUGAUAUUUAUUUCUGUAUUGAUUUGGCUCCAAUUGCCCUACCUAUAUCUAUCCCACCGUACUGUAUGGCUCCGAAAGAAUUGAAGGAGCUGAAUGAGCAGUUUAAGGAGUUAUUAGCAAAGGGGUUUACCAUACCAAGUGUAUUACCUUGGGGUGCACCAGUGUUAUUUGUGAAGAAGAAAGAUGGGACUAUGCGGAUGUGCAUUGAUUACUGCCAGUUGAACAAUGUUACCAUCAAGAACAAGUACUCGCUGCCGUGUAUCGAUGAUUUGUUUGACCAUUUAUAGGGUGCUAGGGUGUUUUCUAAGAUAGACUUGAGAUCAGGGUACCAUCAGUUGAAUAUUUAGGACUCAGAUGUUCCGAAGACUACCUUCCGUACCAGAAAUGGUCAUUAUGAGUUUCUAGUGAUGUCCUUCGGCUUGACUAAUAUCCCAGCGACAUUCAUGGAUUUGAUGAAUAGAGUGUUUAGGCCAUAUAUUGAUUCCAUUGUUACUGUCUUCAUUGAUGACAUCUUAAUUUACUCACGUAGCCUGGGGGAGCACGAGCAACAUUUGAGAGUGGUACUUCAGACAUUACGAGAAUAGGAUCUCUAUGCUAAGUUCUCCAAAUAUGAGUUUUGGCUAGAGUCUGUGGCAUUCUUGGGGCAUGUUGUAUUAGGAGAGGGUAUUAAAGUGGAUCCCAAGAAGAUUUAGGCAGUUCAGAGUUGGACUCGUCCCACUUCGAUGACUGAGAUCAGGAGUUUCCUGGGGUUAGUAGGUUAUUAUCGCCGGUUUGUGCAGGGUUUCUUAUCCAUUGCAGCACCUCUGACUAGAUUGACCCAGAAGGGUGCCCUGUUUUGUUGGUCCGGUGAUUGUGAGGCGAGCUUUUAGAAGCUCAAGACAGCCUUGACUACAACAGCAGUUUUAGUGUUGCCUUCGGAUUCAGGGAUGUAUACUGUGUAUUGCAAUGCUUCAUGUGUUGGCUUGGGUUGUGUAUUGAUGCAAGAGAGGCGAGUUAUUGCAUACGCAUCACGUCAGCUAAAUCCCCAUGCGAAGAAUUAUCAUGUGUAUGAUUUGGAGUUAGCCAUGAUUGUUCAUGCUCUUAAGAUAUGGAAGCAUUAUCUGUAUGGGGUGUCAUGUGAGGUUUAUACAAAUCAUCGUAACUUACAGCAUUUUUUCAAGUAAAGGGAUCUCAAUUUGAGGCAGCGUAGAUGGCUCGAGUUACUGAAGGAUUAUGACAUCACCAUUCUUUAUCAUCCGGUCAAGGCAAAUGUGGUCGUGGAUGCCUUAAGUAGGAAGGCAGAGAGUAUGGGUAGCUUGGCAUUUAAUUCAGUGGAGGAGAGGCCACUAGCUUUGGACAUUCAGUCCUUGGUUAACAGACUUAUGAGGUUGGAUAUUUCAGAGCCCAGCCGAGUUCUUGCAUGUGUUGUUUAUCAGCCUUCAUUAUUGGGGCAAAUCAAGGCCCAACAGUUCGUUGAUCUGCACUUGGUAGUUCUUAGAGAGACGGUACUACAGGGUGGUGCCAAGGAGGUUUCUAUUGGCGAUGAUGGUGUUCUGUGACUGUAGAGUCGUCUAUGCAUUUCUAGAUGGCUUGAGGGAGAGGAUUCUAGAGGAGGCACACAGUGCUCGGUAUUUUAUUCAUCCAGGUGCUAUGAAGAUGUAUCAUGACCUGAGACAGCACUAUUGGUGGUGGCGGAUGAAGAAAGAUAUAGUUGAGUAUGUGGCUAGGUGUCUAAAUUGCCAGCAUGUAAAGUAUGAACACUAGAGGCCAGGUGGCCUACUUCAGCAAAUGACUAUACUAGAGUGGAAAUGGGAGCGUAUUACCAUGGACUUCGUGGUUGGGUUACCGCGGACCUUGCGGAAGUUUGAUGUAGUUUGGGUCAUUGUCGACAGAUUGACCAAGUCGGCACACUUCAUUCCGGUUGUGACAACAUAUACUUCAGAGAAAUUGGCCUAGAUUUAUAUUAGGGAGAUAGUUCGGUUGCACGGUGUGCCUGUUUCCAUCAUAUCAGAUAAAGGCCCUCAGUUUACUUCAUAUUUCUGGAGAGCCGUACAGAGUAAGUUGGGGACCCGUGUAGAGCUCAGCACAACAUUUCAUCUACAGACCAACGGGUAGUCAGAGCGGACAAUUUAGAUAUUGGAAUACAUGCUGAGAGCAUGUGUGAUUGAAUUUGGGGGACAUUAGGAUCAGUUUUUGCCUUUGGCUGAGUUUGCUUACAACAACAGUUAUCAGUCCAGCAUUGAGAUGGAUCCAUUUAAGGCUUUAUAUGGUCGGCAAUGUCGUUCUCCCAUCGGGUGGUUUGAGCCCGGCGAGGCUAGGUUAUAUGGUACUGAUCUGGUGAAGGAUGCCUUGGAAAAGGUAAAGUUGAUUUGGGAGCGACUUCGCACAGCAUAGUCCAGACAGAAGAGUUACGCAGAUCAGAAGGCGCGUUACGUAUCAUUUAUGGUAGGCAAGAAGGUUCUCUUGAAAGUCUCACCGAUGAAGGGUAUUAUGAGAUUCGGAAAUAAGGGCAAGUUGAGCCCAAGGUUUAUAGGCCCAUUUGAGUUAUUGAGGCUAGUUGGGGAGGUUGCUUAUGAGCUUUCUUUAACUCCCAGCCUAUCAGGGGUUCAUACAGUUUUUCACGUGUCUAUGCUCUAUAGAUAUCAUCCCGACCUGUCACAUAUGAUAGACUUCAGCACUAUUCAGCUUGAUGAGUGCUUGGGUUCUGAGGAGGAGCCAGUUGCCAUUGUUGCUAGACAUGAUCGUCAGUUGAGAUCCAAGAGGAUUUCUGCAGUAAAGGUUCAGUGGAGGGGCCAACCAGUCUAGGAGGCAACCUGGGAGUCCGAAGAGGACAUACGGAGCAGAUAUCUACACUUAUUCAACACUUCAGGUAUGAAUCUAAACUCGUUCGAGGAUGAACGUUUGUUUAAAAGGUGGAGAAUGUAAUGACCUGACCGGUCAUUUUUCUUUCUAGAACCUCGUUCCCCUAAAUAAGACUUCUCGUACAUGCUUUUACUGUUUCAUGACUUGUGGGGAUGGUUAGUUCGGGAUUUUGAAGAGUCUAGGUUGGAAUCGGAACCCUUGGUUCCUUAAGGUUGGCUUAAAAGGCCAAAAUUGACUUCGGUCAAUAUUUUUAGUAAAUGACCUCGGAAUCAGGAUUUGACGGUUCCAAUAGGUUCGUAUGGUGAUUUCAGACUUGGGCGUAGGUUCGGAUUGGAUUUUGGAUGACCCGGGAGCAUUUUGGUGCCUAAUAGUGAAAGUUGGUUCUUGAAGGUUUUAGAAGUUCUUUAAAAUUUGGUUUGGAGCGAGUUUUGGUGAUAUCGAGGUCCAAACAGAAUUAUGAGACCAGGAAUAGUUCUGUGGCCAGCCGCAGGUGCGAGCCAAACCCCCGCAGAUGUGAUCCAAGGAUGGCCAGCCAGGUUCCGUAGAUGCGGCUCCUUCCACACUGAAGUGGGACCGCAAAAGCGGGAGCCCUUCCGUAGAUACGGCCCCAGCCGGCCCAGCCAAUCUUGUAGAAGCAAAUCCGCAGGUGCGAAAAUCGCAGGGGCAGUGGGGAUCACUUAAUAUGGGACUUAAGCCAUUUUUCACUCAUAUUCUCUCACUCUUUGGGCAAUUAUUGGAGGUUCUUUAGAGGGAUUCCCACCUAGCUUUUGGAGGUAAGUAAUUUCUACCUAUUAUGAGUUUAAUACAUAGAUUAUGGGUAGAUUCCAGCAUUAAAAUUGGUAGAAAUCAUAGGUUUAGAUGAAAAAUCUAGGGUUUGAUAAAAAUGAGAUUUUACCAUGAAAUUGACCAUGGAACUUAGUGAAAAUCAUAUAUUUAUGUUCCUAAGGUUAGGAGUAACAACUUUAAAAAUUUCCGGAAUCUAGACACGUGGGCCCGGGAGUGAAUUUUAGGACUCUUGCAUUUUAGGUUGGAUGAUCACUUAAAUGGUGGAAUUAUGAACUUUUGAGCAUAGAUUGAUUAGUUUAUGUAAUGUUUGACUAGCUUCGAGUCGUUUGGCAUCAAAUUUGGAGGUUUGAGCGCGUUCUUGAAUUGGGAAGCAGGCUUUGAGACGAGGUAAGUCUCCUUUCUAAUCUUAUAAGAGGGAAUUAACCCCAUAGGUGAAUUAAAUAUAUGUGUGUACCUAUUUGUGGGGGCUACGUACGUACGAGGUGACGAGAGUCUGUACGUAGCUACUAUUAUGCUAUUGUUCGGGUAGUUUAGGAACCGUAUCAUGCCUUAUUCAAAAUGUUUGUGCCCUUACUAGCUAAUUCAAUUACUCGAAUCAUGAUAAAAUUUGACAAAAGAAUUCGAAAAAGGGCUAAGUUCUCCUAUUUACAGAAUUUAUUAGAAUACUUGAUUGUAAAUGGGAAUUCGUGUUUCCUUAAAAAUAAUUGUUAUUUGUGGAUCGGGCCGAGCGCCUCGGUAGUAAAUAGAUGCAUCUAUGGUUCGCGUCAUUCGACCCUCCGGCAGUGCACAAUUUAAUAUUAUAUUGGACCGAGCCAUACGACCUCAACAUAAUUGCGCAUGUUAAUUAUGUGGAACUCUCCGUGAUUUAUACUUCUUAAAUGCCUUGAAAUGUAAGUUCUUAAAUGAUAUGACUAAAAUUGAUAUUUUAAUUAUGAAAGAAGAACUUAUCUCUUCCCAUUAUUGAACUGUCAGUAUUAUUCAUGAUAUCCAUACUUAGCAUAACACUUUAAUUACAUUAUUAUUGGCCCUAGUAAGUGUCAAGUCGACCCCUCGUCACUACUUCUUUGAGGUUAGGCGGGAUACUUACUGGGUGCAUAUUGGUUAUGUACUCAUACUACGCUUCUGUACAUAAUUGUACAAGAUCUGAGGCUGGUGCAUCUAGUUACCCGCCCGGCGUGCAUACCUUAUCUUGGAUCGAGACUUCACGGUGAGUUGCCCCCUUCUAAGCUGUUCAGCAGCAUAUCGGAGAUUCUCUUUUGUUUUUAUUUGUCUAUUCUGUUUCAGACAGUAGGAUAGUCAUCUUUUGUAUAUUGCACUAGUUGCCCACACACUUGUGACACUAGAUCUUGGCACGUAUUAGUAGACUUUGAUUUUUGGAUUGUAGUUCAAUAGUUAUAACUACUUUUAGAUGUUUCCAUUUGUUUGCCUUAAAAAUUCUUUAUUUAUCAAAUGCUUUAAAUGUAUGUAAAGCUAAAUGUUGGAAUUGCUUAAUAAACAAAAAUGGGAAAUCACUAAGUUGUUCAUUGUUGGCUUGUCCAGCAACGGUGCUGGACGCCAUCACGGCCUGACAUGGAGUUGGGUCGUGACAUGAUCCUUGUCCAUAUUGUGGAGGACCACACUUGUGGCAAAAUUGUGCAUCUUAAUCUUAUGUGUGGAAUAAUUAUAAUAUGUUUGGUUGUCAAGGUGGCCAUUGGGAUGGCUGUCCUAAUUCUUAUUAUCCGUCUCAGAGCUCUUAUUAUAAUGUUCCUAAUAAUGUUUAUGAUUUUGAUAGGAGCAAUGAAGUGGAGAAUAUGGAACGUGAUGCUCAUAUUAUGGACAUAAUGAGGCAAGUAGCCGAGAAACAAGAUGAAAAUCAAAAGGCUAUUAUGGACAUGAUAAACCAAGUAACCGAGCAACAAGUUCUUGACGCCUUAGCGAUCAAAAGACUCCAGGCCAGAAUGGACGAAUUAAUGGCCAAUUUCCAAGAAGAACCUCAACUCGACAAAAAGAGCGAGUUCCCACAAGAAGAUAAUUUUGAAGAAGCAGAUAUAGUGAGCGAAUCUUGGAUAGAGGAACAAGCUCAACUGAUAAAAUCUUAUGAGUUUCUUUCAUGAUGGUCUUUCAAAUAUGACAGAACAACUAAUAGAAGGAAGAACUGAGCUCAGGUCAGAGAUAGACCAAUUUGGCUCAGAUAUCCAUGAACUGCAGGUUCAAUUGAAUAAAAAGGAUGAGGCGUCUGAUGCCCUACAACAAAUUAUUGUGGAUACUGUCCAACUGAUGGAGCAAAAAAAGGAAUCCCAACUAUUCGACCAAAUUAUUAAUGAUGCCAAGGGUGACAAGUGCGCAAAAGUGAGGAUGUCAAAAGUGAAGCAAUUCUAGAGUUUGAGCGCAUUGGACCUCAUUCUAACCAUUUUUCAACAUUGUGUUUGAUUGGUGACAUGAGAAAUGAUCCAUUCGAGCAAAUGGGGGAGUCAAUGUAUGAGGAACAAAGUGCAUAUAUUCUGAAAUUUGUGAUGCCAAGGAGACAAAACGACAUCCCUCACUUAAAGGCCAAGAAGUGCAAGAUGCGACACCUAUUGCUUGGUUCCUUUAUUUUUACACCACCUCCCCGGUAACUUGAUAGAAAAAUUGAUGCAAAAUUGGGGGCGCAAUUUAUAUCCUCAAAGUGGAAAGAAAAGUGGUGAAAGUAAUGGCGUCGUGCCGCGACGUUAAAUCAGGCGCUUGUUGGGAGACAACCCAGCUUUACUGCUUUUUUUUAUUUUUGUUUUUAUUAUAUUAUUUUGUAGUGGUUGUUUUGAUUUUGUAGGAUGAUAAGCAUAGGAAACAAAGCCAUUGGAAGAGUACAAAAGCGAGCUUGAUGGUGAGAACUAAGUGUGGGGUGCCCACACAAAGGACCAUACCUGAGAGAAGUGAGAGUAUCCCGCGAGCCACUAUUGCUACGGCCUUUGGCCUUUUGGGGAGUUUCUUGUCCACCCUUGUUAUUGUUUUGCUUUAUUUGUGCAUUGGGGACACUGCACUCUUUUAAGUGUGGGGUGGAAGAAUUCUCUAGAUAAUUGGUAGUAGUAUGUUAGAAAAAGGUUUUCUUAUUUUAUUUUUGUAGUUGUGUAGUAUUUUAGUAGCUAUAAAAAAAUUAAAAAACAAAUCGAAAAAUAAAUUUAAAAAAUAAAUUUUUUCCGACGAUGGAUCUCCUAGACAUUUUUCUUGAGGUACUUAAGUCAAAAGAAAAAAGACAAAAAGAUUUUACUUUGUUAGGUAGUGUAAUAAUUCCCCCUUGGUUUUUUUUUGUGCCACGGUUCUUUUCCAAGGGCUUUACUUAAACCAGGUGUAGUUAGUUUUAUUUAUUUUGAAGUAGGAGCCAUUAUGAGAUGAAUUGAAUUGGAGCAAUAUCUCUUGACUUUGUUAUGCCUUGAGAAUAGUGAGUACUUUGGUUGUGACGCUUAGGCUCAGUUUUUGACUCUUAUAUAAGUACCUUAAAUCGUAUGAUCUUAAAUUUGCUUAACUGCUUUGAUUAGAAUGUCUUGAUAAGUCCAAUCCUGAGUGAGUUAUGUUCCAUAUGUGUGUGAAGUUUGUGUGUUAUUAUGUGUAUUGCAUUUGAUGUCUAGAACUUGCCCCGUGUGUUUUCAAAGCGAAAUAGUAGUGUUGCUCAGUCUUGAAAGUGAUAUAGGCAUUUCUUUGUUGAGCCAGAUAUAUAUGGUUUACCCGCCUUAUUGUUGUGUAACAUAGUUAACCCCUUUGAGCCUGUAAUCAUGUUUCUUUGGCAACCACAUUACAAGCCUUACCCAUUUGUUUGAAGUUACCAUCUAUAUGAACCUUUUCACCUCUCAUGAGCACUUGAAUUAUUAUGAACUUUAUAAAAGUUAAAGUGUGGGGUGGUUGGUUUGGCUUUUGAGUGGAACUAAUGAAAUAAGGAAAUAGGUGCACUAUUUUGAAAAAAAAUAAAAGCCACUUGAAUUAAAAAAAGAAAGAAAGAAAAAAAUAGUUGAAUUGUUGUGAAAAACUAUUCCUUGAUAUUGGUGACUCUUGAUAUAAUUGUGAUUAAAGAAGUAUGGAUUUAAUAUACAUUAAUAUGAAGGUGGAGUUAUGGUUUGACAUAAGUGUGGGGUUUAAAUGUUAAAGUGUAUGUAUUAAAGUGCUUAGGGAGGUGUAGUCACUCUUAUAUCCAAUUGUAUCCUACCCGACCCGUAGCCUACAUUACAACCAAUUAAAGUCCUACUUGAUCCUGGACUGAAUGAGCUUGAUUAGUAUAGUAGUACACUACGGGCAAGCCUAUGGUGCAUCUUUUGUGGCAUAUGAAUGUAUUUCUGAGAGUGAGGAAAUUUUUUCUAUCUUGAGUUUCUAAUUAUUCUUAAAUUUUAUUGUGUGGGGAACUACUCUCUUUUGUUGUGUGAGGGCACUUGAUUCAUGAAGGAAAGGUAAUAUCAUUGACCUCUAUGUUAGAGUGAGUGAGUGAGUUGUAAAUAAUGCAUGGUACUUGUGAGUUAAAUCCUGAGGUGAAGAUGUUACACUCUUUUGCUUAGUCUAUUUUAAAGAUUCUUGGUGUGAUGAGUUAGGAAAAUUGUUUAAAAAGGUCGUAUCUAUAUAAAGUGUAGCUUGAUUGCUCGAGAACGAGCAAUAUUUAAGUGUGGGGUAGUGAUGUUUGGCUAUAAUUCCGUAUUUUUUAGUGCAUUACUUACCUUACAUUUUGGGACUUAUGCUAAAUUAUACUAUAUUUAUGCUUAAUUGAGUUUAUUUUAUGUGUAGGUACAUUGGAGAUGAAAUUGGAGCAAAGUAAAUAUUUAAAGUGUGAUUCAUGCACUAAAACAAUGCGCUUAUGAUUAUAUAAUGAUAAGAAAAUUAUUGAUGAAGAAGGAAAAAUUGAGACAAGGAUUGAAGAUAAAUCACAAGAGGACAAAAACAAAUGCAAAGGAUUUUGGAAAAGAAAGAAAAAAAACGUGAAAGGCAAAAGUUAAGCAAAGCAACAGAAUUGAAACGAACCAGCAAUCAGGCUACACAAGCCUUGUUGCUCGCUAUUGAGCAGGCGACAUGAGCCUUGUUUCUCGCUACUGAGCUUGCGCCGCCAGGGCUAACGCGAGGAGGAGGCGCCCGACAGAUCUUGCAUUGCACAGGCUUAGGCGAGGUGGACUGUGCGUUUUGCCUCGCGAGGCGAGGUCUGUGGCGAGCGUGUUCCGGAUUUUUAAAGACUAUUUUGUCCCCUAUUUGGUUUAGACUUGAUUAUUUCGUUUAGGUCUUUUUUCUACACAUAAAUAGUCAUAAAACACCAUUUUUAGAGGGGGUUUUGUGACCGGAGGCAAGAACAUCAGGCUUGGAGGAGGCUUCUAACUAGUUUUUCUUCUCUUCUUUUCUUUUAAUCUCAUAGUUUAUUAGUUCUAGAGUUUUGGGUGUUGCAUGAACGUUGUAGUUAUAAAUUAAUCAGACGAUUUAAGUUAAAAAUUCAACGGGAUUGUUGGUUAACCCAUAGCUCUAGAAUAUUCACUCACAUUGAAUUCGUCUUUAAGUUUGUCGUUGUUUUCUUUAAUCUCUUAAUUUGUUACUCUAGAUUAAUUUUAGUUAAAUAUUCAUACGUUAGGAUUCGCUUGAAUAGAUUAAUUAUUUGGUUUAAUUUAGUUGAUAGUUAAUCACAAGUCCCUGUGGGUACGAUAUCUAGACUUACAAUCCUAUAUUACUUGUACGACCACGUAUACUUGCGUGUGCAUUUGGAAGCAACACUAUCCGAAGGAUGAAUGUAGAGAGGACUACCAGUAUCGAUGACCAGUUGGUCAUCUCUGCUUCUGUCAGACGUGGUUUCUUCAGUCUGAUCGAUGGCCAUGUGCGAAGCUCCGAUUUGGUGAAAUCGAGGAGUAUAUCAGUCUACUCAGUGAACAGAUGAAUCAAUUAGGUCGAAAAUUUCUCAAUUUGUGGAAAAAUUACAGAUCUGAGCAGCAAUCGCCGAAACACUAGCGAGCAACGAAAACAAACGAAUUUGAGUACGAAGAAUGGAUAUGCCGACUGGAUCCGAGCUAAUAUCAAAGCUCUGAUACCAUAUUACGAUUGUAAGCAAGCUCAAGAUAAUUGAUCUCCAAUGGAGCUCUCUAUAAUGUUCUGAGAGAAGGAGAGAAAAGGAGUAAGAGAGAGGGAGAGUGAGAGCACCAACAUAGGCUGUGCAUUUUGGUAUAAUGAGAACUCACUAAUCAACUCUAUUAUAUUCCAAGUAUAUAUACAUAUAUACAACUGAACUACUAACAUGUAUGUAAGUCAGCUAAACUAACUAACUAUACCCACUAACUAUACAUUGUAUAAUGAAUAAAAUGAAUAGAGAAUAGAAUAAUAAUAAUAAUAAUAAGUAUACUCAAUAGUUAUUUUUCACUACAAAAAAAUAGUCUAUUUGCAGAGGUUAUUUUUAUGUUUUGCGGCGGUCAUCAACCACAUUAAUUGAUGUUACGGCGGUCUCCAAAACCCCAGUUGUAAGGUUCGCCACUAUCAUUUUGCGGCAACUAUUUACAGCCCGCCAUAACCAUUUAACGGAGGUUAUUUGCCGGCGGUUUAACCCCCACAAAUUAAAAUUUUAACCAAUUUAGCAACAUAUAAAAAAUAUAAAACGGGGGUUGAAAACCCCGCUAAAAAAUUAUUUUGCGACGGUUUCAACCUCCGCAAUAUAUCUUAGAAAUAUAACAUAUUCUAUUUCACAUCAGCUUUAACCCCUUCAAUUUGUUUAUUUAGUGGCAGUUUUAACCUCCUCUAUUCAGUGAAGACUUUUUUUUUGGGCAAUUGUGGGGCUACCUGUUUGUUUAAUACAAUAUUUCAAUUAUAUUAAUAAAUUUUAAGAGGAAUUAACAUAAAACUAAAAAUGCAUAAAUGUUCAGUAACCACCACAUAUUAUAAAAUCAUAAGCAGUUGACAUAACCUCAAAAACUAAACUUUGCAAUUACAGUAUCAUACUUCAUUCCUCUUUUUCAUUUAACCACACUGACUGUCACAAGUGCAGACAUUCUUUUCCCAUUCCUAAUUUCCAGUUUUCCACAUAUCAUCCUUGAAAAUCGAAAAGAACCCAUAAGGAGAGCGGUGGACACAGCAGUAAACAUUAAUGGAGUACUAGAUUAGAUCUUCAAAGGUUGACUAGACAAAACGGGAUCCUCAAAUCCUCGGUCGGCAACGAUAUUUGUUUUCUUUAAUAGUCAGAUCUUUUAGACAAAAUAUCCAUUAAUGUAGUACUAGAUUAGAUCUUCAAAGGUUGACUAGACAAAACGGGAUCCUCAAAUCCUCGGUCGGCAACGAUAUUUGUUUUCUUUAAUAGUCAGAUCUUUUAGACAAAAUAUCCAGUUCAACCAUUCAGAAACAGUUUCAUACUUAAUCAUCUAAUACAUUUGCAAGAAAACUCAAUGAUUUUCACUAAGAUUACUAUCACCAGAUGAUCUUACGCCCAUAGGUGAAAUGGACCCGCUAGCUGCAUCACUUGGCUGCAAAGAAAUAAAAAGCAUUAAUGUUUAUUUUUAGUUUUUCAAAUUAAAAAACUGCAUAUAGCUAGAUUUUAUUUUACUGCUGCAGGAGGAGGAGAAACAAAGAUCCCAACAAAUUAUUUAAGUAUUGUCCCUUCAUUCAUAAUCAUAUAUGCCUUGAAAGCAUUCAUCAUUUGGUGGUGUGCAGUCAUCAUUUGAGCAUAGUUCUCUUGGCUUUGAUUGUGAACAUUCAAAAUCUGAUUGUAUUUCUCUUCGCAUUUGGAUGAACAUGAACCAUGAUCACAACUGGAAGUAUUUAUACCUCCAAAAUGACGUCUUGUUUGUCUAAAAACUUUACUCGGGAUAGCUCCUAACCCCAAAAACCUUACCCUUUCAGAAUGCUCUUUUCCUAGCACCUUACCAACGACAUCAUUUGGUGAAACUUCAGACUCAUAUAUGGCACUUUGACUUACAAUUAGCUCAAUUUUUUCCUAAAUAUAAUAUACACAAAAUUCAUUGUCAUAACUUCAAUUAGUAAUUGACAACAUAAGGAAAAUAAAAGAUAACCAGAGAAACAACUUUGAUGAAUAAUUUAAGUAGCUGAAUAACAGUAAGAUGCCUCAUCACACGCAAACAUGAACACAGAAAGAGUUAAAUACGCGGGCUUCUCUUCUAACUGUAACUGUUAAUUUACUGCUUCCAUUCAUAUCAAAUCUGAUCCUCAAUCAACUGAAUCUCCAACAUUCAUUAUUUGGAACAUUAGUCAAUACAUAGGGCUCAGUUUAACUCAUUUUGUUAAGCAUUAUUUCUACUUUUGCAUUAGGCUUAGUUUAUUACUGACGACUUUUGUUGCUGCUUAUAUUGUGAUGACCUCAAAAACUUGGAUCAAUUAGUAAUUUCAUUAUCACUAAUUUAUUCUUAUCAGAAGAUAGAGCGCGGAACUUAUUUCAAGUUCUUCUUCCUUCCCAGUAGCAACAACUUAAAUCUUCAAUAGUUAUUAAUCCUUAGUAAUACUCAACAAACCAAUUUGAUCCAAAUAAUAUGACACUACAAGAAAUGAGAAUUUUGUAGAUAUAUAAAAGAUUAAUAGAGCCAAUCCCAACUAAUUUCGAAUUAAUUCUGAGAUCACAAAGUUUAAGUUUCUACAACAUUCAUUAUUCAGAUUAACCACUCAUAUACAUUAGUCAUAUUGUUAGUAUAUUACUGUCAUAGUGUUGUAUUUGGAACAAUGUCAACUUCAUUAAUGGGCUACAACUUUAUCUUCAUAUUAUACUUUCUAGUGAUCUAACACAACACAUAAAACUUUUAACAAGUAGAAACUUACACAUAUUUCUCUUGCCGCUUCAUUAACAUAUGAGCCAUCUUCCUUCUUAUGAGUAGCAAGAUAGAGUUGCGCUCGUCUAGGCUUUU